GGCCGCGCAGCGCAGGCUCCAGAAGGCCGGCGUCACCGCCAGCUUGCAUCGCAUCCCUGAAGUUUAAUGGCUGUGAACACGGUGAUCGCGGGCUUUUUAGAGGGCAUUAUAUUAGUGUGACCGCCGAUAAGGAAACCGAGGUUCAAGGUCACAUACCUAGGCCUACACUGGCUGCAUGGUCCACAAGUACGGUCUUAGGAGUUUUGCACUUUGGAAUUUAGCCUGCAGCAGAGAUGAAGAGGAGGAAGAAGACCCACAUAAAAGAGUUCUUCAGCUUCAGAAAGUUUGAAAAGCAUAAUUACAUUGAGACUCUGGU